UAUGUCAGUCUUGAUGGAAGAGCAAUUGAUGCUCUCAGGGAGUUUAAUGAAGAAGGAGCUCUGUCUGUGCUGCAGCAAUUCAAGGAAAGUGACUUAUCACAUGUUCAGAACAAAAGUGCAUUUUUAUGUGGAGUUAUGAAGACCUACAGGCAAAGAGAGAAACAGGGCAGCAAAGUGCAAGAGUCCCCAAAGGGACCUGAUGAAGCAAAGAUCAAGGCCUUACUUGAAAGGACUGGUUAUGCUCUGGCUGUAACAACAGGACAAAGGAAGUACGGUGGUCCUCCACCAGACAGCGUGUACUCGGGUGUGCAGCCCGGAAUUGGAACAGAAGUCUUUGUAGGUAAAAUACCAAGGGAUCUGUAUGAGGAUGAGUUGGUUCCCCUUUUUGAAAAGGCUGGUCCCAUUUGGGAUCUAUGCCUUAUGAUGGAUCCACUGUCUGGUCAGAACCGAGGGUAUGCAUUUAUCACUUUCUGUAGAAAGGAAGCUGCAGAGGAAGCUGUUAAACUGUGUGACAGCUAUGAAAUUCGCCCUGGGAAACACCUUGGAGUGUGUGUUUCUGUGGCAAACAACAGACUUUUCGUUGGAUCCAUCCCGAAGAAUAAGACUAAGGAAAACAUUCUGGAAGAAUUCAGUAAAGUCACAGAGGGUUUGGUGGACAUUAUUCUGUAUCAUCAACCCGAUGACAAAAAGAAGAAUCGGGGUUCUGCUUCCUUCAAUAUGAGGAUCACAAGUCAGCAGCACAAGCCAGAUGUCGGCUGAUGAGUGGAAAGUAAACGUACGGGGAAAUGUAGUUACAGUUGAAUGGGCUGACCCUGUGGAAGAACCAGAUCCAGAAGUCAUGGCUAAGGUAAAAGUUUUAUUUGUGAGAAACUUGGCCACUACAGUGACAGAAGAAAUAUUGGAAAAGUCAUUUUCUGAAUUUGGAAAACUGGAAAGAGUAAAGAAGUCGAAAGAUUAUGCAUUUGUUCAUUUUGAAGAGGGAGGAGCUGCUGUUAAGGCUAUGGAUGAAAUGAAUGGAAAAGAAAUAGAAGGGGAAGAAAUUGAAAUAGUCUUAGCUAAACCACCAGAGAAGAAAAGGAAAGAGCACCAAGAGCUAGACAGGCCUCCAGAAGUACUGCGUAUGAAGGUUAUUACUAUCACCCUCCUCCUUGAAUGCCACCUCCAAUUAGAGGUCGAGGUCGUGGUGGAGGUAGAGGUGGAUAUGGCUACCCUCCAGAUUACUAUGGCUAUGAAGAUUACUAUGAUGAUUACUAUGGUUAUGAUUAUCAUGACUAUCGUGGAGGCUAUGAAGAUCCCUACUAUGGCUAUGAUGAUGGCUAUGCAGUAAGAGGAAGAGGAGGAAGGGGGGCAGGGCAAGGUGCUCCACCACCACCAAGGGGGUGGGGAGCACCACCGCCAAGAGGUAGAGCUGGCUAUUCACAGAGGGGGGCACCUUUGGGACCACCAAGAGGCUCUAAGGGUGGCAGAGGGGGUCCUGCACAACAGCAGAGAGGCUGUGGUUCCCAUGGAGCUCGGGGCAAUCGUGGGGGCAAUGUAGGAGGCAAGAGAAAGGCAAUGGGUACAACCAACCUGAUUCCAAGCGUCAUCAGACCAACAACCAACAGAACUGGGGUUCACAACCCAAUGCUCAGCAGCCGCUUCAGCAAGGUGGUGACUAUUCUGGUAACUAUGGUUACAAUAAUGCCAACCAGGAAUUUUAUCAGGAUACUUAUGGGCAACAGUGGAAAUAGACAAGUGAGGGCU